AUCCUCAUCAUCAAUCCUGUCAAAUUGCACCUGGGGCAUUUCAGAGUCUGAUUGGAAAAAAUAACAAAACAAUUAGUUCCUUUUUUAUUUCAGCCCCAAGAGGCUCAGGCUAGCAGAAUACAUGCUCUCGCUUUUUACAUUAACCCCUUAUGUAGGCAAUAUAUCUUGAGGUUCACUGUAGUUAAAAUUUUGAUCCAAGCAUAGUAAGAGAAGAACAGGAUACAUGUAUGCUCCUGCCUUUCAGUUCUCAUCUAUCACUGCUGCCUUUAUCUUUUGGAAUCUUCCCCUCUUUGAGUGGAUUCAUUCCAGAUUCACCACUGAACUCCAGAUACCCUGCUGAGAACCACAGAAGAUAACGAAUUAUUCUCACCACCACCACCUUCUCAUGUCUUCCAACUCUUAUCCUGGAGGAAUUCUGCCAUGCCUUCCCCAAUCCCUGAAAGUCUCUGAUGGGGGAAAAGCUCUUCAUGCAAUCCUGUGAAGGGUAAGGAUCCCUGGAUCACUACGGAGAUCCACUGAUCCAGCCCAACCUACAUUUUAAUAGUGAGAAAAGUGAAGCCUAGAAAAGCUAAAUGAGUUACCCAAAGUCAUCCAAAAUUAGAAUAUGGGCCUCCUGACUCCCAAUGCGGGGCUCUUCUCACUAAACCACAUGUCAUAUCUCAGCGUUUUCAUAAAACUCAAGAUUUUCGGUGCCCUUCACAAAGGAGAAAUGACAGGAGAGGGUAACAUCAGUGAAUGGGUGGGCCCACAGCUCCUCUGUAGACACCGAGAAUGUCAAAGAAGAAAUGAAGUUAAUAAAGACCAAUCAGCACUGCAUCAGGCUCAACAACACUGCAGUACUGGUCUUCUGGAAGAACAGUUGCCUCUGACUUAUCAAGAAGCUGGUGAUGCAGGAAGUCAUCACCACAGGUGUUGCUUCCAUAGCCAAUCUGCACCUGCUAGAUUGCACUGGCCAACGAAAGGAUGCAUCAUGCACUAUAACCUUUCUCCCCACUUCAAUCAGUUGCCAUUUAAUUCUUGAGAAAAUAUAUCUGAUUGGCAGACUCUAAGUCAUUCCCAGAACCCUAACUGCAAAGGAAUCUUGGAAAUAUGUUUUACUCUCCAGUUUCAGCAAUCCAGGAAUGCACAUCAGAAAGGCGGGAAAAGAUGUUCAGUGCCCUCAUCUAAUCAGUUGAAGUUCUAAAUAGAACAAAAAAGCCAACCUUCCUUCAAGUAAGAGGGAACUCCUGCUUUUACUGCUUGAGCAGUCUUUUCCUGCCUUCAGACUCAGACUAGAACUAUACCAUAGACUGUUCUGCACCUCCAGCUCGCUGACUGCAGAUCUUGGGACUUCUCAACCUCCACAAGCAGAGCUGCCUGACCCAAUUUCUUCAAAAAAAAAUCAGGCUCUCUCUCUCUCUCUCCACCCCCCCGCCAACCCCCACCUCUCUCUUUUCCAGUUUGUUCUGUUUCUCUGGAGAACUCUGACUCUAUCUGGUAACAUUUAUCAAGUAUUUACAAUGUUCUAAACAUAUUCUAGGAGCUUUUCUGGCAUUAAUUCAUUUAAUCUGAUACUAACACUGAGGCAGGUAAUUAUCCCCAAUUUACUACUGAGAAAACCAAGGCACAGUGGGUGAAGGAAGUUACUCAAGGAUACACAGCUAGUGAGCAGUAGAGCUGUCAUUCAAUGCUAGGCAGUCUGACUCCAAAGCUCUCCAACUGAAAUGUGCUCUUUUGUCUCCUAAUAGUAGGCACUGGUUCGAAGUUUGAUGAAUGAAUCAGUGACUAAUUAAAUGAAUUAAUGACUACAAGACAGGCUGGAAAGGAGGCAGAGAAAUAACUUGCAUAACCUUUAGAAGGAUUGAUUUGCAAGUAAAAACCUGAAGUGCUUUCUUGCUCAAAUUACUUUUCUGAAGUGGUUAUCACCAAAAAGCAGUGUUUUAUAAUUUUUGUGGGACUUUUUUUUGUAAAAUCCUAGUCUGACGAAUAGUAAAUUCAAGUUCUAGUUCUAAGUACCCCCUUAAUAAUCAUUUGGCAUCAGGAAAGGCACUUAAUCUCUCUGAGUUAUAGCUUCCUUGUGUAUAAUUAGAAUGAUAACACCUGUCCGAGGUUUUAAUGAAAUACCAUGGGAUCUUACAGACUGUUUUUAUAUGACAUGGCUCGGUCAUUUUCCAGAAGGACAGGAGUAAAGUAGAUGAGUGGACACUUUAGUAAGCUGUUCCCCCACCCCAAUGUCUCUCACAAGAAUAUGUAGUUUACCCAUGAGUGGUCCUUGAUUCUACCUUCUCCAGUUGUACUCAGGAGUUCUUGCUACAGCUGUACCCUUUCUGGCCCAAGGGAAGGGGUCUCAAACUCAGGGAUCCAAAGGCUCUAGCCAAUGCAUCAUAAAACACAACUUCCUACUGAUGUAACUAGUAUAAAGGACAAUUUCUAACUGAUAUGUCUGCAGAUGGCCCUGCUUGAAUCUGAGUAACUCCUUUGUCUAUUUCAAUCUGUGUUAUUUCUAAACCAUGUGUCUUUAGCUUCCCAAGCCUUAAGAGGCCGAGGUAAAAGCUCCAAAAAAGGUUAAUAAUGUGGGAAAACACUUAGAAAAAUGUAGAAAGAUACUGUCUAACGCAUCUGCCAUGGUAACUAGCACAUAGUAUUAAGUUCUUAAUAUUGCUACAAAAUGUGAGAUUAGAAUCAACAGAUCAUUCUCUUUCUUGCCUACAUACAUACCUAUUCCUUUAUUUGGUUGAGUUUUUCCUAACUAUGAGUGGAUUACCACCUUACUUUUCUUACUGCUCUCCUCUACCCGCACACACACACACACCCCCCAACACCCAGCCCCCCCCGCCCUCCUCCCCACCACACACACACACACACACACACACACACACACAGAAUAAUCAAACAUCAAGAGAAAAGAGCCAGCAAAUGUAACCUGGGUUGACCAGGCCUUGUACUAACUCCUGAGUUGAACUCUGGAGCCUGAGGAUGCCUUCAAGCUGCUUCACCUUUAAGGGACUGACAGAACUGCUGCAGGUCUCUGGAAGAUGGCAUAAGCCUGAAGACUAUAAAUGUGUUUGAUCACUUUAUGGAGUAGUUAUACAGCCAGAUUUGGGAUACACAGUGUUUUUUAAAAAAACUUUUGCUUAUGGACUUUUGGUUAGCUGAAUCAUAUUAACAUUUCCAACAUCUGUAUAUUGUUUGUCACCAAGAGAGUUGAAGAUUUGAGUACAAAAAGACUUACAUAAACCCUUUGUUGGCUGCCCAUCCAGAUUUUUCAGGACAGACCUGAUUUCAAAUAUUUUGGAUGCUACACUAUAAAUUGGCACUUGUCAGAGUCACUUGAAA